rnacentral:rRNA from 1 species
GAUGAACGCUGGCGGCGUGCCUAACACAUGCAAGUCGAGCGAAGCGCCUUACUUGAUUUCUUCGGGAUGAAAGUAUUGUGACUGAGCGGCGACGGGUGAGUAACGCGUGGAUAACCUGCCUCAUACAGGGGGAUAACAGUUAGAAAUGACUGCUAAUACCGCAUAAGACCACAGCACCGCAUGGUGCAGGGGUAAAAACUCCGGUGGUAUGAGAUGGAUCCGCGUCUGAUUAGCUAGUUGGUGAGGUAACGGCUCACCAAGGCGACGAUCAGUAGCCGGUCUGAGAGGAUGAACGGCCACAUUGGGACUGAGAUACGGCCCAG